AUUGAACGCUGGCGGCAGGCCUAACACAUGCAAGUCGAGCGAGCGGCGGACGGGUGAGUAAUGUAUGGGGAACUGCCCGAUAGAGGGGGAUAACUACUGGAAACGGUGGCUAAUACCGCAUACUAUCGGAUGAACCCAUAUGGGAUUAGCUAGUAGGUGGGGUAAAGGCUCACCUAGGCGACGAUCGCUAGCUGGUCUAAGAGGAUGAUCAGCCACAAUGGAACUGAGGCACGGCCGAGAAUCCUACGGGAGGCAGCAGUGGGGAAUUUUGCACAAUGGGCGAAUGCCUUAUGCAGCCAUGCCGCGGGUAUGAAGAAGGCCUUAGGGUUGUAAAGUACUUUCAGCGGGGAGGCGUUACCCGCAGAAGAAGCACCGGCUAACUCCGUGCCAGCAGCCGCGGUAAUUC
rnacentral:rRNA from 1 species